UACGGAAGGCAGCAGUGGGGAAUAUUGCGCAAUGGGCGCAAGCCUGAUGCAGCCAUGCCGCGUGUAUGAAGAAGGCCUUCGGGUUGUAAAGUACUUUCAGUCGUGAGGAAGGUGUUAAGGUUAAUAACCUUAGCAAUUGACGUUAGCGACAGAAGAAGCACCGGCUAACUCCGUGCCAGCAGCCGCGGUAAUACGGAGGGUGCGAGCGUUAAUCGGAAUUACUGGGCGUAAAGGGCACGCAGGCGGUUAAUUAAGUUGGAUGUGAAAUCCCCGGGCUUAACCUGGGAAUGGCAUUCAAGACUGGUUAGCUAGAGUCUUGUAGAGGGGGUAGAAUUCCAUGUGUAGCGGUGAAAUGCGUAGAGAUGUGGAGGAAUACCGGUGGCGAAGGCGGCCCCUGGACAAAGACUGACGCUCAUGUGCGAAAGCGUGGGGAGCGAAACAGGGAUUAGAUACC
rnacentral:rRNA from 1 species